UCCACUGGCUCUUCCACUGCAGUGUCUAUGCCCUCUGCUGGUGGUUGGUGGCACAUGCCGCUUUCUUACAGGCCCACAGUGUUUUUUUUUUUUUUUCAUUUACUCUGAAUAGUAUUUGAUUGAAAACAGGAUAAACCCAGAAAAUGCCAUGAUUUGUCUGCCUUUUUUUUUAUGUUGCUAUAGUCUAAAAUCACACAUUUCUAUGUUUGUGUGUGUGUGUGUCCAUAAAACAGAGCUCUGUAUCUGAAGACCCUCAGUCCAGUGGUCCAGUCUACAGCAGUGUAGUUAAUAAGAAGAAGCAUUCAUCUGAAGCAGCUUCUGCAAGCGAUGUGGUCGACAGCACUGUAGCUCAUCAGAAGAAGCCGUUGUCUGCACCAGCUUCUGCGAAUGAUGUGGUCUACAGCACUGUAGCUGAAGAUGGCAAAAAAAAAUGUGU